rnacentral:rRNA from 1 species
AGCCUCUUGAAAUUUAUAGGAGGUAAGUUCUGCCCAGUGAUGUAAAAAUUUAACGGCCGCGGUACUCUGACCGUGCAAAGGUAGCAUAAUCAUUUGCCUCUUAAUUAGAGGCUGGAAUGAAGGGAUAUACGAGAUUAAAACUGUCUCUUUUUAUAUUAUAUAAAUUGGCAUUUAGGUGAAGAGACCUAAAUAAUAAUGAAGGACAAAAAGACCCUAUUGAGCUUUAUUUUUAUGAGUAAUUAAAAGAUAUAUUUACUUUAUAACUUUUAGAAAUUUGGUUGGGGCGACAAAGGAAUAAGAAAAUCUUCCUUAAGAUAUUAGAAUAAUAUUUCUUGUAAUGGAUCUAUAAAUAUGAUAUUAAGAAAUAGUUACCAUAGGGAUAACAGGCUAAUUCUUCCAGAGAGUUCAAAUUGAUGGGAGAGGUUGGCACCUCGAUGUUGGCUUAGAAUAUCCUAUAGGUGCAGAAGUCUAUAAGGGUUGGUUUGUUCAACCAUUAAAAUUCUA